ensembl:lncRNA
UGAGGUUGCAAUGUGAUGAGAAUAUUCCUGAGAGACAUUCUGAUGAUGAGAACGAACAGGAGAAUGUUCCUGACUACAGUCGUCAGUCUGAUGCUGUAACAGAGAUCAGAGCCAUCAGAGAACAACCUGCAGUCGAUCCAGCCGUGGACUUGGAUGAGAAAAAGAUUUACGCCAAUCCCGAGGUAACUGCAGCGCUCCAAACCAUGAGACAAGCCAGUGUUGAGGAAAUGAUGCCUCUUCUUCAGGUCAGAGAAACAGCCAGCAGACCUGACACUCUUACACUGAUCCAUCACAAUACAGAGGGUUUGCCAUCUCACAUCAGUGACAUCAAGAGUCAUCAUGAAAUGUGUUUAGCAGAUGUUUUGUGUCUCACUGAGUCUCACCUCCAAGGCUCCUUUGUUGCAGACAGUCUUCAUUUGGACGGCUACACCAUGUUCAAACGCAACAGACAUGUGUCCUACACAAACUUUCCUCACAUGGCCAGCAGAAGUGUGUUGAAGGUUCAGGCUCCAUUCCCUGCGCUCAUUGCUGUUGUGUACAGACCUCCAGACUACAGUUUGGCACCGUUCAUGCAAAACCUGGUAAGUCUUUUAGAUUCACUUGAAAUAAUGGACUGUCACCCAAUAAUUGUGUGUGGAGAUUUUAAUGAGAACCAGUUGCAGAGUGGAAGAAAACAGAUUCUGGAGCAGUUUCAGUCGAGAGGGUAUUCACAGCUGAUCACUUCUGCCACUACAGACAAGAACACCCUGCUUGACCUCAUUUUUGUUUCUCAGCCACAGCAAAGUCUCCAUUCAGGUGUCCUGAGGACAUAUUACAGUUACCACAACCCUGUGUUUUGUGUCCUGUCCUCCAGCCAAUCAUGAAGUCGUCUGGUGAGUUUUGAAACAAUUACAGAUCAUGUUUGUUACAGAGUUUACUGAUUGUAGAGCAUUAAAAAGAUUUUUCAUUGAAAAAUCAUAUUUCUUCAUAUUGUCUUCCCUACUCUGUCUGUAAGAAGAGCCUUUCUUAUUGCAAUGUUAUUAAUCAUUUCACCAAAUCAUGGCUGUACUUCAUGCAGAGCCGGGAGAUCUGCUUUCUGUUAUCAUGCACCUCAGAUCUGAAAUAUGCUGCAAAAAGUAUUAAACGAACAUAAUUUAUUUUUUAAUCUAAUGUUUUAAAUGAGUAAAUCUACUAAUGCAUUUUUUCAUGGAUGUUAAUUGUCAUCUCCUUUUUUGAUACUUUUUUACUCUGACGUAUGUAUCUCAACAAACGAGAGCUUCCCCUCAAAGGGCUUUCAAAUAUGAAAUAGUAAAUAAAUAAAUCCCAGAUAAAUGCAGGUAUUUAUUAUGGGUCACAUGAAUAAUAACAGACAAUUAUAUUUUCUUGAUUAUAGUAAAUUUUGUAGAAUCAAAUGUUUUUGGGAUGAAUGAGGUUUUGCUCAUCAUGUUUUACAGGUAAAAAAUGUUAAAAGUUUUAAACUAUCUUUAGGCUACCAGAGAUGUUUAUAAUGAUUCAUUAUGUAGAGAAAAACAUUUUUACAGCUUACAGAAUAUGUAUAAAAACUGAUUUAGAAGUACAUGGAAAGUUU